rnacentral:sRNA from 1 species
UAUUCUGCCCCACGGGGAAGGAUGAGAAGCUUCGACUAAGGUUCGACUCGAGCGAAGCGAGAGAACGUUGCCGCAGGCAACGGCCCGAAGG